GGUUGACCUCGGAUCAGGUAGGGAUACCCGCUGAACUUAAGCAUAUCAAUAAGCGGAGGAAAAGAAACCAACAGGGAUUGCCCCAGUAACGGCGAGUGAAGCGGCAAGAGCUCAAAUUUGAAAGCUGGCUCCUUCGGGGUCCGCAUUGUAAUUUGCAGAGGAUGCUUCGGGAGCGGUCCCCAUCUAAGUGCCCUGGAACGGGACGUCAUAGAGGGUGAGAAUCCCGUAUGGGAUGGGGUGUCCGCGCCCGUGUGAAGCUCCUUCGACGAGUCGAGUUGUUUGGGAAUGCAGCUCUAAAUGGGUGGUAAAUUUCAUCUAAAGCUAAAUAUUGGCCGGAGACCGAUAGCGCACAAGUAGAGUGAUCGAAAGAUGAAAAGCACUUUGAAAAGAGAGUUAAAAAGCACGUGAAAUUGUUGAAAGGGAAGCGCUUGCGACCAGACUCGCUCGCGGGGUUCAGCCGGCAUUCGUGCCGGUGUAUUUCCCCGCGGGCGGGCCAGCGUCGGUUUGGGCGGUCGGUCAAAGGCCCUCGGAAGGUAACGCCCCCAGGGGCGUCUUAUAGCCGAGGGUGCAAUGCGACCUGCCUAGACCGAGGAACGCGCUUCGGCUCGGACGCUGGCAUAAUGGUCGUAAGCGACC
rnacentral:rRNA from 1 species